rnacentral:ncRNA from 1 species
CGAAGUUCAAGGCGAAAGCACUUGAACGAAGCCAUGGGCAAAGCCACGGGCCUUAUGUUUUUUGGUAGCCGGGCUGCCGAA